CGCGGCCUAUCAGCUUGUUGGUGGGGUAAUGGCCUACCAAGGCGACGACGGGUAGCCGGCCUGAGAGGGCGACCGGCCACACUGGGACUGAGACACGGCCCAGACUCCUACGGGAGGCAGCAGUGGGGAAUAUUGCGCAAUGGGCGAAAGCCUGAUGCAGCGACGCCGCGUGAGGGAUGACGGCCUUCGGGUUGUAAACCUCUUUCAGCAGGGAAGAAGCGCAAGUGACGGUACCUGCAGAAGAAGCACCGGCUAACUACGUGCCAGCAGCCGCGGUAAUACGUAGGGUGCGAGCGUUGUCCGGAAUUAUUGGGCGUAAAGAGCUCGUAGGCGGCCUGUCGCGUCGGAUGUGAAAGCCCGGGGCUUAACCCCAGGUCUGCAUUCGAUACGGGCAGGCUAGAGUGUGGUAGGGGAGAUCGGAAUUCCUGGUGUAGCGGUGAAAUGCGCAGAUAUCAGGAGGAACACCGGUGGCGAAGGCGGAUCUCUGGGCCAUUACUGACGCUGAGGAGCGAAAGCGUGGGGAGCGAACAGGAUUAGAUACCCUGGUAGUCCGCGCCGUAAACGUUGGGAACUAGGUGUUGGCGACAUUCCACGUCGUCGGUGCCGCAGCUAACGCAUUAAGUUCCCCGCCUGGGGAGUACGG
rnacentral:rRNA from 1 species